GGUGAGUUAUUUAGGGCAUGCUACAGUGUUCCUGGGGGCUCUUAAGCUGCUGUUUUGACCCUCUGGCUUUCUGGGAAAGAGAUCCUUAAUCCACCUGUUAUUUGAGGUGUGAUUUUCUAGGAAUGGGCUCUUUGAAACUGUAAACUGUGUUCUCUGUCCUUUUUUCCACACCAUCCACUCUUGUUAGCUGUCACAGCUUUGAUUUUCUUGGCCAACAUGGAAGUUUUCUACAUUUACUAACUGUAGCCUAGGCUAUGCUGCAAAAACAAAUAGCUGUGAAAUUAGAGCCACUUAAUUCUACUGAGGUUUAUUUCUUAUUCUUAUUCUCUGUAUCCAUCUUCAGCUGGUUGAGGCCUCUGCUCCAUUUAAUCACUUGGGGAGUCAGAUUGAAGAACCACCAUCUUUUGGUAGAAGGGUCUCUUGGAAUCCACAGAUCUAGGUAACUUCUAAAUGAGGCAUAGGUCCCACCAUGCACCUGGAUUGCAGGUGAAAGCUAAAAGUUUUAUGCUAAGAUUAGUGUAAACUUGGGUAACUGAAAAAUUGUCCCAAGUUUUGAAUUAAAUUUGGCCACCCAAGUCUCUUGACUAUUGCUUAUAUUUAAUAACUGAAUAUUUGUGUUGGGGCAUAAUUACUCAAAAUUACGUUUUUCUUCCUGCGAAUACAAUGUUAAUGUAGUAAUGCUAACUCAGCUACUCUUUCAUAAACUUCCAUGUCUUUUUUUAAUCUGGCAAAAGCCUUCUCUCAGGAUAAUCAUUAUGCUCGAUUCAUUUUCUACUUACUUUAACAAAUAUAUUAGAAAUUGUGUUUUUAAUUAGUGUAGUGUCAGCAUUCUUUAAUUCUCCUGUAGAGCUAAUUGAGGACAUAAUCAGAAAAUGUUGUUGAUUUUUCUGCCGUCUUUGAAAAACUGCUCUGACCAAGAUAUAAUUACCUAAGUGAGCACGUGCUCACUUACCUUAUUUGAAUCUUCACUCCUUAUAUGCUCACCUCUAAACACUUGCAGUGAUAAUUUUAACAUUUUAUUUCUGAAAGUGAUUUCUUUACUCUACCCUCCCCCAAAUGGUAGCCACUAGCCAAAAGUGGCUUUCGAGCACUUAAAAUGUGACUGGAUUGAGACGUGCUCGAGUAGAGUAAAUCAUAGGCCAGGCUAUUUAUCUAGCAUUACUGUGAUAAUAAUAAACCUUCUGAG
rnacentral:lncRNA from 1 species